GCACACAGGUGCUGCAUGGCUGUCGUCAGCUCGUGUCGUGAGAUGUUGGGUUAAGUCCCGCAACGAGCGCAACCCUUGCCAUUAGUUGCUACGAAAGGGCACUCUAAUGGGACUGCCGGUGACAAACCGGAGGAAGGUGGGGAUGACGUCAAGUCCUCAUGGCCCUUAUAGGUGGGGCUACACACGUCAUACAAUGGCCGGUACAAAGGGCUGCAAACCCGCGAGGGGGAGCCAAUCCAUCAAAGCCGGUCGUAGUCCGGAUCGCAGUCUGCAACUCGACUGCGUGAAGUCGGAAUCGCUAGUAAUCGUGGAUCAGCAUGUCACGGUGAAUACGUUCCCGGGUCUU
rnacentral:rRNA from 1 species